rnacentral:rRNA from 1 species
AACGAACGCUGGCGGCGUGCCUAACACAUGCAAGUCGCGCGAGAAAAGGGGGGCGAACUCCCUGAGUAAAGACGGCGCACGGGUGAGUAAUGCGUAGGUGACCUACCCCUCGAGUCCAGGAUAACCUACCGAAAGGUGGGCUAAUACCGGAUAUGACCACGGGGAUCUCGAUCCCUGAGGUGAAAGGUGGCCUCUGUUUACAUGCUACCGCUCGUCGAUGGGCCUGCGCGCCAUAGUCUAGUUGGUGGGGUAACGG